rnacentral:lncRNA from 1 species
UUCUUUUCUUCUUCAUUUUGCCUUUCUUUUUUAAAAAGUUAGUGACUAUACUUUGCUUUCUUUUUUCCUUUUGCCUUUCUUUUCAAAAAGGUUAGUGAUCAAAGUAGCACUGGGGAGAGGAGAGUAUUAAAGAAUCAAUUCAAUUUAAAAACUUAAGUUGUUAGGUGAGGUUUUAAGAUAUGAUUUAUAUUAUUCUCUAACACACUCUCUCAAGUGAAUUUAAACAUUUUAGGCUUGAAACUUGCACAAACUCACAUUACCUUAUGCUUAAUUUUUUAUCAAAUAAAUGAAAAUAAUAAGAUUCAAACUAAUGACCGCUUGGUCAUCAAAGCUCUGAUAUCAUGUCAAAAAAUCAUCUUAACCCAAUAACUUAAGCUGUUAGGUAAGGUUCUAAGAUAUAAUUUAUAUUAUUCUCUAACACACCCUCUUAAGUAAAAGCCCUUUGGACUUGAAACUUACACAGAUCCACGUUACCUUGUACUUAUUUUUUUUUAUGAAAUAAACAAGAAUGGUGCUCUAAUAUCAUGUCAAAGAACCAAUUUAACCUUAAAGCUUAAGCUGUUAGGUGAAGUUCAAAUUAAUAUAUGAUUUAUAUUAUUCUUUAAUAGAGAGAACAUCUCUUAUUCGAGUUUUAUCACUUGUAUUUCUCAAUUCACAUGUAAGUGUACAAUCAAUUAAGAAUCUUGAGUUGACGAGCUCUCUCUUAUAAGUUAGAGAUUGCAUCCGAUGUGCCCAAGUGUGUGUGUGUGUGUAUAUAUAUAUAUAUAUAUGCUGGAAGUUAGGAACCGGGAAUAAUUGCAAUGAAAUGGAAUCUUGCUAAUAAGAGUUGGGUUUCUUACUAGACAGUUGUGUGAGUGUUAAAUGUUAAUUAGGAAUAUGAGAAAAAAACAACUGAGUUUAAUAAACCUUUUAGUUUAGUUCGUUCAUUCUAUAUAGAGUGUGUCCUAAGAGGCUAAGACCAACUUAUGCCGAGUCCAUUCAUUGGCAAUUGGUUCUUCACACUUGCAUACAUGCAGGGGCAGGGAAUUAACAAAUCAUGAUAAUUAUUUAUACUGUUAAAGUGAUAUUAGGCCAUAAAUUCUAGGACUUCCAAACCAAUAUAUAUAUAUGUUAGGGAUUACCAUAUUAGAUUUCAUGUUUUUUGGUAAUACAAUGUGUGCUUUUAUAAAAAUAUUUUAAAAUAAUUUUUUAAAAUUUGUUUUUUUUAGUUUUAACAACAUCCGCAUAUAAAAACUACAAAAAAAUCUAAAAAAAAAAAAUACUAUUUUAUAUAAAAACAGUUUGAAAAAUAUUUAAAAAAUCAGACUGAAAAAAAGAAGGAAAAAGAAUAGCAAAAGUGUGACCUUAGAUUAGCAUAUAAUGGGAUCCUAUGCAUGAAAUUGACAGGUGGUGGCCAAGUGCUUAGACAGGUAGGCUAGGAGAUAAUUAUACAUAAAGCUUAACUUUUAUUAUGAACUCAUAAAUCUCAAACAAUUUCCUUCUCUGCCAUGAAUCCUCAGCUUCAUUCACACAGUAAAAAAUCCAGGGAUUUCCUCAUUAUAAGACCCAACAUUAACCAUGAAAUGAAACUCCAAUGCUACAUUCCCAUGUUGCCAUCCUUCUCCUUGGGCAGUUUUUAAACAAAUUAAUUACGUAAUAUGUUAUCUAAUUGAAGACAGAAAGCUGCUUUGAUGCUCUUAAGUACAGGGAGAGCUACGAACACUAAGAUUUUGGUUGAAGAGAAGAACACAGACAAGGCAGCAGUAGAGUAAAGGAAUUGACAUCAAUAAAUCCAAGACUAAAUAAAUCAACAAAUCUCUUUAGAACACCAUUAGGACCAACUCAAAAACGAAAAGAUUAAGAAAAAGCAAGCCCUAUAAUAUGUUCUAAACAUGACAAGAACAACCACUUACAACAAACUUGACUAAUCUUGGUUGGUAUAAAUAACAAAAUUAAUCAGCGUUUCUUCAGGUUCGUGACCUUCUUCCAUCCUUUCUUGCAUGAAUUUUCCACAAUCUUGACUCCUUUCGUGAACAAAACCUUGAGCUCCUUGGCUCUCUCCUUUACCUGCUUCUCAAAAUCACCCAUGUCUAGAGAUAGAGAAAAAGGAGAGAAAGAGAAGAGAAAAUAAGUAAUACAAGAGAAGGAAUAACCUUUUAGCAGAGAAUCUAGAGGUAUAUAUAGAUGAAGAGGAAUUAAGGGCAAGCUAAGAUUAAUUUUUUUUUAAAAAAAAACGUUGUCUUCCUGUUAAUUGGGUAAAGAUAGUAGCUUCGCUGGCCUGGCAAAACCCUAAAGAAAGAAGUUGUAGCAAUUCUUGGUUGGAUCCUACCAAGAUAAGGUAAUAACGUGGGAUCCAAUACAUGGACGACACGUGGCGAGGAUCAAGUGGGUUUUACUUUGGUUAUCUCAAUAUUACACGUUGAUAGCGGGUGGGAACAAACCGGGGGGUUUGUAAUUUGUAUUUGUUAGGCAAUAGUUUUCUCCUGUGAUUAAGUUUCUAAAUUUAUUACACUAAUUAAAUAUAAAAAUAAUUUUUAAAAAAUAAAAUCGAGUAUUGCAACGGAAAGAGUAUCUCUUUAUUGGACCAUGAACAGUACUUGGAGAGUUGCAACCUGCAAGGGAUUAAGCUGACGUUCACAUCAUACUAAAGUAAUAUUUAUUGUUUAAAAUAUUUUUGUUUAAAAUUAUAUUAAAAUAAUAUUUGUUUUAUUUUUUAAAAAUUAUUUUUAACAUUAGCAUAUUAAAAUAAUUUAAAAAUAUAUAAAAAAUUAAUUUUAAAUAAUUUCUUUUAAUUUUAGAAAAUAUAUAUACAAUACCACGCUACAAACACUGCUUCGAGUUUGAAAAUGGUAAGGAGGAUAUCAAGACAGAUAAGAUCAUCAUCCAGUGAAACGUCCCUAUGAAUUCACUUUGAAAUCAUUUUUUAAGAUUUUCGCUAGAAUAUAUUCAUGAUGUGGGGGCAAUGGUCUUGCUGUUUAAAUUAUUGCAUGUCUGGUAUGAGCAGAGAAAAUGACUUGAUGAGGAUGCAUCGAGGGGGACAAAAGACAGAUGAAUGAUCACAGAAACCGAUACUUUUCGUCCAAUCAUAAUUGGGUCUCCUUCAAAUCAAAGCGAACCCAAGUGGAAGCUUCAUGAGAGGAUCACCCAUUUCUAAACCACAGGGAACGUGGACAUUUUUGGCUAUCAGGGAACGCACCUUGUGUUCCAGUGAGUACAAGUGUUAUUAUUUGUAUUGGAAUGCAAUGCUAAAGAAUGUAAGUGAUCCAUGCUGAUUUGAGAAAUUGGCCACUGAAAUCUUAUUUUUCUCCUACCAUGGCUCAAUCGAAUAAUAGUUACAAAUAAUAAUUUAUCUUUUUUUUUUAUCUAAAUCCUGAUAUUUAGAAGUUUACUAUAUACUAACAUAAGAGUUUAAACUGAAUUUUUAAAAUAUAAUUUAUAUUAUUUUUUAACAAAUUAUAUAUAACAACAAUAAAAUUUGCCAAUACUACAACCUUACGGAUCUUCUCUAUGUAUAAUAUAUAUAUUCCAAUUACAUAUAAUGGUUUUGGAUACGAGUAAGUAAUGUAGUUGAAAGGAUGCCGGCCUUGCCUGGCUAAAGUUUUUGGUGCUUAUGUUUUCAAGCUCCUCGCAUCACUAUAUAUAAGUGUAGGUGUUCUCUGCAAAUUAGUUUUCGAACUAUGCGCCGUUGCAGGUACAGAUUCAAGGUGCUAGCAACAGCUCUGUGUGUAGUGUUUUUUUUUUUAAAAAAAUCACCACGACUAAGAUCAUGGGUACAAUAUCUUAACCUGAAUAGUGAACUAUCUUUUUAUUUAUUUUUUCUUAUUUUGUUCUUAGCUAGGUUUUUAUUAGGCUUGAGUCGGAUAUACUUAAAGUCUAAACUGAAGACAGACGUAUUAGAUAAUUAACCAAAACUUUUCACCAAAUAAUUUAGGGCAAAUUCAAAAUCUUGAUCAAUUAUAGCUUUCUAGUGUGCCCAUUACCUGACUCACCACCCCUCUCUCUCAGAGAAUAAACUCAGUUGGUGAUGCUCAAAGCUUCAAUCUUUGAAUCUCUCACAUUGUAGAAAGAUUGCAACUUCCCCUCGCUUUAUCUCCCUCUUAACUCAUACAAACUCUUCAAACUCAGCAAGUUUUUCUUCUUUUAUUUCCUCCUUUCUGUAGUUCUCUUGUGUUUAAAGUUUCUAAAAACUUACACUCUAAGCAUUUCCUUUUUAUUUCUAUGUUUAUCUCUUUCUAUCAACUUUUGUGGUGAUUAUUAAUUAGAUCUGCAACUGCUUAGAGCACAACCCAACUUUUUAUUUAUUGCAUUUCUUUAAUCUAACUGCCUUUGGUUAUUAAAGUUUGACUUUUUAAGUUGAAAGUUAACAUUUUUAUUGCUUUUUUUUUUUGUAUCACCGGUAAAUAACUUUCUUUUUAUUGGAAUUAUUAGGUGUUUUCAGCUUUUUCUUUGUAACUGUCAUUUCCAUAAAUAUUUCUUUUUGAAUUUUGCUAAUUUGGAAAUUUGAGUUCUCAAUUUAGGAGGAAUCUUGGUGGGGGGGUUUUGUUCAUUUUUUUUUAUACUAGAUUGAUUGGGGUUUUUUUAUAAAAAAAAAAUAGAGAUUAAAUUGAAAAGAAAACAACUUGGAUUUAGGUGGGAAGAAAUUUGAAACUCAACUUAAAAAUAUUUAUACAAUUAGGGACCAAAGUUAACGAAAAUGACAAAAAUUGUUGCGCAUGGGAACACACCAGCAUGUGGAGGACCUGCCACAUUAUGAUGGCGCGUUCAAAAUCCUCUUGCCUUCAUAAAUGAUCUUUCUUGGUGUUUCUGGAAGUGUCUAAAGCAAGGCCAUUCAUUAUAGGCAGCGUGUGGCGGCUAUUUCCCAACGGGACAACCAAUUUUCCUUCUUUUUUUUUUUUUUUCCCUUUCUUUCCCUUGAAUUAAAAGGAUUAAUUAAAAAAAAAUUAUAGAACAUGAAAAAAGAAAAAUAAAUGUUUUUGCCACUUUUCAAAUUCACGCGGUGCCAAUAAAUAUGCUGUUACAAGAGAAGUAAUAGAGAAUCACCUUUUUAUUAUAAUUAUAAUUAAUGAAAGUUCACGUGUAGUGGAUAAAAUUUAAAUGAUAUAUUUUUUUAUUAAUGUGAGUAUUUGAGUUAAUUUAUAUGUAUCUUGAUUAAUUAUACAAGUUCUAAAAUUAAUGACAAUAUAAAUAUUUAGUGAUUCUGAAGUUUGUGAGACUUGAACUAGUAAUUUUUAUAAAGUAAAUUUAAAAUCUAACCAGUUGAGUUAUAUUAUUUAGAUUUUGAUAUGUUAAUGUUUAUGUAUGUGGUUGGAUAGAUUAUUUGGAUGGGCAUGUUGAGUAAUGUUAAGCACGAGACUAUACGUUUUUAUCAUUACUAAUUCAAAUUAAAAUUCUCAAUUCAGUGCUUAUACAUUUUUAUGCUGAAUGAAAGGGAUAUGCUGCACUGCCCUACCUAGUUCUUCUUAACAUUUUAAGCCAAAACACCUCCGGUGUUGAUGUACGUAUGAGAAGGCGAUCAACAAUCUCCUCAGCCAACAAACGGACAAAACAUGUUGCUUCAUCAGACUCAAUAAUACUACCUCUUCUAGCCAAAACACCUCUGGUGUUGAUUUUAUGAAGGAUAGCCAUCCAAAAAAAAAAGUUCAACUUUAGAUUUAGCGAGUCCUUUUCAUACACCAUUGAAGGAAAUGCUUGUACUAGGCUGACUAGGAAAUGAAAGAAGCCUACACAUAGAUUUAACAUGUAUACAUCCCAUUAUAGAUUGACUUCUAACUCAAUUUGUCCAUAACCUUGCUGGACAACGUUAAUUUGGACAACAUACCAGACAUAGAAAUUCCAAAUCCAAGACAAGUCAUCGAUCCCACACACCCAUGUUAGCAAUUGAAGAGUUUUGUCUUCCGAAAGGUAAUAUAUAUAAUCUUGGAAACUGUACAGUAAGACAAGAAUUGCCAAGCCCUAUCAUUCGAGAUGAAGCUGGUACCGCAACCAUUAUCAACUAACGCACAAAUUUCUUGGUUUGCAAUAUUCUAAAGUCUCACGUCCUUGGCACAACCACUAACAAUCCUACACCAUGUACUUCCCCUUGCAUUAACCUUUUCUAAAGAUAAAUUUAAAGCAACCUUUUGAUGAUGAAUAUUUGAGACAACAUCCUUCCAUAAUCCGGUGUUAGAGUUCCCACCCUCCUCACCAGAAGCUGAACAAUCUUCGGCAUAUAGUUAUCAUGCCCAAUCCAUUUCAUAAAACGAUGAGCCAUUCACUUAGAAUAGAUAAUUUUGCUUUUGAAAUAAACAAUUUGAUCCAGCUUCUUCAUUUAAAAUGUAUUUUUUCAGUGAAAAGUUGCCAACCUUUAUUGAGACAAUUCUUCUUCCAAUAGAUAAAUCAUUUCAGUUUGAUUUAUGGUCCUCUCUUGCUCCUUCCAAUGUUGAGUUUAAUCUCUAGCUUGCAAUUAUGAAUAAACUAUCUAUAAAAGCUUUUCACCACCGACAAGGUCUGUUACAAGUGAGUGAUUUGAGUUGUCAUUUCAAUAAUAAUAAAAGAAAAAUUAAGCCUACAAAACAUGUCUUCCUUUAUUAUGAGGUGGUAUGGAAAUUAUGGUCACCGGGUGGUGACUUAGUUAGGCCAACAAUGAAUCUUACUAAAGUCUUUUGAUGAUUUUUACUUAAAAUGGCAUAAAAUGAUUUUGGGAUCAUUUUUGGAUAUACUUACUACGAUCACCAAAUGGUAUUUUUAUAUAGACAAAUAAGGAAAAAGUAUAUAGUGAAUCAUCAUGAAUUCCUCCUCCUCAAAGUAUGCUUAAGUGGAAUGUAGAUACUUCUGCAAGUAGCAAGCUUAGAUCCUCGGGGAUUAGGGGUGUUCUAAGGGAUCACGAAGGAAAAUUUCUUUGUAACUUUUCUAUUCCAUAUGUACAGGGAAUCCAAUGGACCUAAGGUUUGGAGAAUUCAAAAGGCUCUCAUUUUAAAUAUUGAUUGUUGUUGUGCAUCCUUUAAGGGUUGUAUUGUGGAGUCUGAUUCAUAUAAUGCAAUUGCUUGGAUAAAAGGAAGCAAUGUCAUGAGACUGUUGUGAUUAUAAUGUGAUUUUAAUAACAUCUCCAAUACUUGUUUUGGGAUUUCUCACAUGAGUUUUACAUAUAUUUACAGAGAAAGUAACCAUGUAGCGGAUCAUUUGGCCAAGGCUUUCUCACAUGAGUUUUACAUAUAUUUAUAGAGAAAGUAACCAUGUAGCAGAUCAUUUGGCCAAAUAAGAAGUUUAUAGAGAAGCUGAUUUAGUUGUAUGGUUAUAAUCCUCUUUCAUAUAUUUAUAUUUUGCUUGAUUUAUAUGUUUUUAUUAAGUAAAUAAGAAGUUAGUUAAGUUUGCUUGGUCCUUGUUUCAUUUUGUAUCUUUUCUAGCCUAUCUCUUGUUACUUUACUUCUUCUAUUUAGCCAUGCUUUUCAUGGCUAAAUUAGUUAAUUAAUAAAAUUUCUCGUCUUUCAUACGGAAAAGGGGAUGAAUUAAAGUUUUCAUUCAUAAAUAAACAAAUUUUUUUUAUAUGUUUACAAUUUUCUUAAAAAAUCUUUGGCCGGUUUCAACUUUCACAAUCAAUAAAUAAUCAACUAAGGUAUCUUUCAAUUUAAAUAUCUCAUUUUGUGAAUAUUCCAUUAGUAUAUGGAUAAUGUGAUUGAACAAAGAAAAUAAAUAUUUAUUAUUGUUGUUGUUGUUGUUGUUGUUUUAUUGUUGUUGUUACCCAUUUUUGAAUUCCUACACAAAAAUGAAAAAAAUACAAAAAUAUAUAUUCGGAAGAAAUCCAAAAAAAAUAACUGGAGCGAGAAAAGGAUGUUGGAAUACUGAAAAAAGGCCAAAAUUGAUUGAGAAGGUUCAAAAAUACAAAAGGUUGAAAUUUAAUAGUAUAUUUUUGACUGAUGGAAGCCCUGUUGACAAAGAAAAUUCAAGUUGAGAAAGAAAAGUCUAAAAUCAGAUGUUUAUGGACUCAAUUAAAUUUUAUCUAAAGUUUAAUUGAAUUUAUGGAGGGUUGGAUUGUAAGAAAAAUUGAUUUUUAAAUCAAUUUAGACUUUUAUUGGAAGAAAUUAAAGUUAUGGGGUUCAAUUAUAAUUUUAAAGAGUUGAUUUGGUCAAAUCAGGGGUUUAAUUGCAUAAUUAUUGAAGUUUGAUGGCCAAUUAGGGAUUUAAUUGAAACAAUCCGAAACAAAGGACCAAACCGGAAAAGGAGCUAAACUCAAGGGAUCCAAUUAAAACUUUUCCGGGGGGCUUGAUUACAAAAUUGCAAAAACAUCCAAGGAUUAAAUCAGAAAUAUCAUUUUGAAAUUGAAAACGGCGCCGUUUCAUUAAGAAUUACGCGCACUGUUCAUGGUCUUCUUCAAAAGAAAAAACGGCCAGCAAUAAAGAGACAGGGGAGGCGUUGGAGCUGCAAUCAAGGGUGGGCGCGUCUCGCGGCUGAUGUUCCUCGCCGCCGUGAUGCACGCCGGCCGUUACCAAGAAACGCCUGCGACCUCUGGCUACAAAGCCAGAGGAAGAACCGAACCAAGGGGGGCAGAAACACAGAGGGAGGGAGAGUGUAAGGAAUAGAAGAAGAGAGAAAGGAGAGAACACAGUGGGAAAUUCAGGAGAGUGAAACACAAAGGAAGGCCGCACGAGGAUAAACAGCAGAGCAAAGGAACGGCAGUAGGAGAAACCGAGCGGCGAAUCAAAGCUCACAGACAGCAGGGAGGUCAGCACCACCACCGGUUUCCUUUUUCCAGAACCAGGUAUGCUCAUUUCCUUUCUUCGUAAAAAAUUUGAUGCAUGUUCGUCUAGAAAAACAAAAAGAAACAGAAGACGAGAAAGCCAAAAGAUCGCCAUUUUUGUACUCUGUAACCAGGGGUCCUCGUUUUUUAUGUUAAAAAACGACAAUUACCUUCGCACUGUUCCAUUCACGCGUAAAAUUUUACGCGUGAAUGGCUUGGUUGGGUCACCGGCUUGGGCCAGUGACCAGGUGGCAUGGGUCCAGUCCAGCCACAUGGGCCGGGUUGGACCCAGCCCGAAAAUAAAAAAAAUUUCAAAAAAAUUCUUUUCAAAAAAUCUAUGAUUUUCCGCAAAUUUUUUACUUCAUUUUGAUCAAUAUUGGUUUUUAUUUUUAUACUGUAAAGAUACAAAUCCGGUAUUAAAAUACCCGGUUUUCGUCAAAACAUUUAAAUAAUAAUAAAACAAAAUGUUUUGUUUUCAUGCAUACGGUCAAGUAUCUCAAAAAAUAAAAAUCAUAUCAUAUUUUCAUACAACAAAAAUUCAAAAAAUAUGUAUUAGAAAGCAUUUUGGUUUUAAUAAUCAGUUUAUUAAAGUCACGAGAAUUAGGCCAAUAUUUCAAAAUUUUCAAAAAACUUAUUUUGUUUUCUUUUAAUAUCUAGGGUUAUGAUCUUAUACAUAAGAUGUAUUCCGGAUGUUAAAUUCUUUUGUUGAGGUUAGAACGAUUAGGUUUUACCCGAUAAGAUAAGAACCUCCUUACUGAGGAGUACUUUUCUUAAACCAUAAACAGACCAACAACAAAAAAACAUGACAAGACCUUAAAUUUUAUCAGACAAUAAAACAAUGCACCCUACCUUAGAUAAGGCUUAUUUGGGGUGCUAAUACCUUCUCUUUAUGCAACCAAUCCCCGUACCCGAUCUCUGAGACCAGUUAGGGUUCCUAGUGACCAAAAUACUAGGUGGCGACUCCAUUCAUGCUUUCCACAGAUAAAAGACAAGAAUUCAUUGUCUCCUCAUAUUUUCCACAUAGAUACAUUAGAUAAUAUAUGAGAGUGGAUGUUUUUCACCACGAAGUCGCACACGUGUGACAAUUUUUAUUUUUUUAUUUUCUUUAUUUUCUUUAUUCAAUCACAUUAUCCAUAUGCUAUUGUAAUAUUUUCUAAAUGAAAGAUUUAAAUUCAAAGAUACCUUAGUUGAUUAUUAUUGAUUGUGAAAAUUAAAAUCAGCCAAAGAGUUUCGAUUAUGAAAGGAAAAACAUAAACAAAAAUAUCAUAAUUUAUUAUUAUUAUUAUUAUUUGGGACUUAAAACUUUCAGUUAUGAUGAUAAAUCUAAGGUUAUAUAAAUAUAUUUGGUUGAAGGAACAAAGUGAGAUAUGAAAUAAAUCAAUUUAUGGGACAUUUAUUAAGUGGAUUUAUGUUUUAUAAAAAAAAGGACAGGAUACAAGUCUCCUUUAUUUUCACUGAUUUUAUUGUUUGAAUUUUUUUAUACUAAGAUAGUAAUCAAAACGUUGCUUUUAACCAAGGGAGAGUAACACUUGCAACAGAGCAAGAGUUCCCAACUAACUAAGGAGUUAUACAGAGUUUCACGACAUACACUCUUGACACACGACUAGAGUGUAAAGAAAAUGCUCAAGGAGAAUUGUUUUAUGAAGAGUUGGAGAGCCUGCAGGCUUCUAGGAGUUCAGUGCUAACUGUUAGCAACUGGAUGUUCCAGUUAGGAUGACAAUAAUUUGAAAAUCAUCAGGUGUUCUAGCAAGCUACUAUGACAAAAGAAAAAACAAAGCGUUUGUCUUGAAAUAAAGGUAGUAUAUAUACAAAUGAUUUUUAGUUGAAAAUACUCCUCUUGUUAUCUUUUAAACUAGUGACAAUAAUAUAUCUUGGGUUUGGCUACCCUAGAGGUGUUUUUUUUUAAAGCUCUUCAAAAGUUUUUCCCUUCAUAACCAAAUAACAUGUUUCUUUAAGUUUUCCGCACUUAUAUUUAUUUCGUUACUAAUUAGGUUUGCAAAGUAUUAGCAAGUUGCUUCUUAACAUAUAGGGAAUAAGAACAGGACCAUCAAGUGGUAUCAGAGCAAGUUCACUCAUUCUAGAGUGAGAUCUAUUUUCCUUGUUAAACAUUUCAACAUUGACUUCAGCAUUGCAAUUCAACAGUGAGAACUAUACCUAUUGGAAUGUGAGGAUGGAAGCUUUCCUCAAAUCACUAGACGAGAAAAUUUGACACUCAGUUGAGCAUGGAUGGAUUAAGCCUAAAACUCUUUUCAGCAAUUAGACCAGAUGUUGUUAUCUAUUUUUGGGUUCCCACAUAAAAAAUAAAAAAAUACAAAAAAAUAUAUCAAAAAAUAUUAGGAAGAAAUCCAAUAAAUAAUAUGAGUGAGAAAAGGAUGUUGGAAUGCCGAAAAAAGGCCAAAAUUGGUUGAGGAGGUUCAAAAAUGCAAAAGGUUGAAAUUUGACAGUAUGUCGUUGAUUGAUGAAAGCCCUGUUGACAAAGAAAAUUCAAUUUUGAAAAACAAAUAUUCAAAAUCAGAUGUUUAUAGAUUCAAUUACAUUUUAUUUAAGGUUUAAUUGAAUUUAUGGAGGGUUUGAUUGUAAAAAAAAUUGAUUUUAAGUCAAUUUAGGCUUUUAUUGAAAGAAAUUAAAGUUUGGGGGUCUAGUUGUAAUUUUUAAGAGUUGAUUUGGUCAAAUCAGGGGCUUAAUUGUAUAAUUAUUGAAGUUUGAUGGCCAAUUAGGGACUUAAUUGAAACAAUCCGAAACCAAGCACCAAACCGGAAAAGACGCUAAAAUCAAGGGAUGCAAUUACAAUGUUUCCGGGGGCUUGAUUACAAAAUUAUAAAAACAUCCAAGGACCAAAUCAGAAAUAUCCAUUUGAAAUUUAAAAAAGGCGCCGAAACUAUUCAUUGUCUUCUUCGCUGGCAAUGAAGAUAGGAGCAGACAGUGGAGCUGCAAUCAAGGGAGGCAUGUCUCGCGGCUGAUAUUCCUCACCACCAUAAUGCACGCCGGCCGUUACCAUGUUCCUGCCAUAACGCAUGCAUCCUCUGGCUAUAAAAGCCAGAGGAGGGACCGAGCAGAAGGAGGAGAAAAAGGAAAGAGGGAGGAAACACAAGGAGAAAGACGAGACAGAGGGGGGGAAGGAAGAAAACAGAGGGAGAGAGGGAGAGGAGAGCAGAACAGAGGGGAGACACAAGACAGAGAAGGAGGAAGAGAAGAGAGGAUGGGAAAUCUUUUGAAAAGAACGGAAAAAAAAAAACAGAGAGAAAGGGGGGAGAAAAUUACAGAGGAAGAAGGCAGGAAAAAGGAGAACCACCGUUGUUCUUCCUCUCCACCGCUGCCACCGUCGCCCCCCACAGCAACCUCCACCGUACCGUCUGAAAGCCACCAGCAGCUCCACCCUCACCAGAGACCAAAAGGAGAAGAACCAAACAGAAACAGACGAGGAAGGAAAAAAACAGAGGCUGGUGCCUCUGCACGGGGAAGAAGAAGAAAAACUGCAUCAAACACUGCCCGCCACCGUCAUAACCACCGUGAGCCAUCGUCGGCUUCCUCUCCACCGCCACCAGCAUCAGUGUGAGCGUACACCAAUACCAUCGUCUUAGACAUCGUUUCCGCCAGGUUUGUUCUCCUCGUCUCUGUGCAUGCAAUUCCAUUUUGCAUUUCACUGUUCAAGUGAAUUAUAAUUCACUUGAACAGUGAAAUGCAAAUGUUACUGUUCAAGUAUAAUUCACUUGAACAGUAACUACUUUCCAUUUGCAUAUGUUACUGAGCAUGCACUCGUGAGGAAGCUCACGUGUGACUUUUGUUUUUCCAGCCGGGUCUCGCGCAGCCACAUACACUAAGUUGGACCAGUAAAAAAAAAAAAAUUCAAAUUUUUUUUUAAAAUUUAUGAUUUUUUCAUAUAUUUUUAUUGUAUUUUGAUUAAUAUUGGUUUGUAUUUUUAUACUGUAAAGAUACAAAUCCAGUAUUAAAAUACCUGGUUUUCGUUAAAAAAAUAAUAAAAUAAUAAAAAAUAAAAUGUUUUGUUUUCAUCCAUACGGCCAAGUGUCUCAAAAAUAAAAAAAAUUUAUGUUAUAUUUUCAUACAACAAAGAAAAUUUCAAAAAUAUGUAUUAGCAUACAUUUUGGCUUUAAUAACCAGUUUAUUAAAGUCACGAGAACUAGGUCAAUAUUUCAAAAAUUCUAAAAAAAAAUUAUUUUAUUUUCUUUCAAUAUCCGGGGUUACGACCUUAUACGUAAGACGUACUCCGGAUAUUAAAUUCUUUUGUUGACGUUAGAACGGUUAGGUUUUACCCAAUAAGAUAAGGAUCUCCUUACCGAUGAGAACUUUUCUUAAACCACAUACGGACCAACAACUAGAAAACACGACUGUCGCACGUCAAAAAAUCAGCGCGGCAUCGGCUGGCGAUUUUUUCGUUGUUCGUUUUGCUUGGUUCGUUGGAGUCGCCACCUAGUAAUUAAUUGCGGGCUACUAGGAAACCGGAUGUACUGGUCUUGUCUGAGAUUCAUGGGUAAGGGACUGGUUGUGGUUAGGGAAGGUAUUAGCACCCCUAACGCACCCUACCUGAGGUAAGCUGCUUCGUGGACUUGAUAUGUUUUUAAAAAUAAAAAUUUUAGCCCAAUUCCAAGGCUUCGAUAAAUCAGUUAUUAGUUCCCAAAAUAUAUGUAGAUACAUGUUCUACAUUUUUAUGGAAAAUACAACAUGAUUUUUAUCUGUCCUUUAGAUAUUUGUGCAUAUAAAUUAAAAUAUUAAAUUCAUUCCUUUUUUUUUUAUUAUUUCAAUAACAUACAUAAAAAAAAUACACACACACAACACAUCUCUUUUUCUAUUAUUCUUUUCUUUUCUUUUCUUUUACAUCCACAGUUACAUAAAAUAUAAAAUACAAACUAUGAAAAGAAAAACUCAAAAUUACACAAAUAUAACAUUAAACAAUUCUAAAAUUACAAAAAAUGACCCAAAACAAUCCGGGGCAGUGCUGGUAACCUCUGAGUCGCUGGAAUAGUGCUGUGAAGACCUCUGGAAUAGCAAGGACAGUGGCGGCGCGUGGAUCUCACGCACCACCGCCGCUGGCGGCGCGUGGACCCACGCGCNNNN